rnacentral:rRNA from 1 species
UACAGAGGUCCCAAGCGUUGUUCGGAUUCACUGGGCGUAAAGGGUGCGUAGGCGGUCGGGUAAGUCUGAUGUGAAAUCUCACAGCUUAACUGUGAAACUGCAUUGGAUACUAUCCGGCUCGAGGAAUGGAGGGGAGACUGGAAUACUUGGUGUAGCAGUGAAAUGCGUAGAUAUCAAGUGGAACACCAGUGGCGAAGGCAGAUCUCUGGGCCGUAACUGACGCUGAGGAGCGAAAGCAUGGGGAGCGAACAGG